GAUGAACGCUGGCGGCGUGCCUAAUACAUGCAAGUCGAGCGAACAGACGAGGAGCUUGCUCCUCUGACGUUAGCGGCGGACGGGUGAGUAACACGUGGAUAACCUACCUAUAAGACUGGGAUAACUUCGGGAAACCGGAGCUAAUACCGGAUAAUAUAUUGAACCGCAUGGUUCAAUAGUGAAAGACGGUUUUGCUGUCACUUAUAGAUGGAUCCGCGCCGCAUUAGCUAGUUGGUAAGGUAACGGCUUACCAAGGCAACGAUGCGUAGCCGACCUGAGAGGGUGAUCGGCCACACUGGAACUGAGACACGGUCCAGACUCCUACGGGAGGCAGCAGUAGGGAAUCUUCCGCAAUGGGCGAAAGCUUGACGGAGCAACGCCGCGUGAGUGAUGAAGGUCUUCGGAUCGUAAAACUCUGUUACUAGGGAAGAACAAAUGUGUAAGUAACUAUGCACGUCUUGACGGUACCUAAUCAGAAAGCCACGGCUAACUACGUG
rnacentral:rRNA from 1 species